rnacentral:rRNA from 1 species
AGAGUUUGAUCCUGGCUCAGGAUGAACGCUGGCGGCGUGCCUAAUACAUGCAAGUCGAGCGAACAGACGAGGAGCUUGCUCCUCUGACGUUAGCGGCGGACGGGUGAGUAACACGUGGAUAACCUACCUAUAAGACUGGGAUAACUUCGGGAAACCGGAGCUAAUACCGGAUAAUAUAUUGAACCGCAUGGUUCAAUAGUGAAAGACGGUUUUGCUGUCACUUAUAGAUGGAUCCGCGCCGCAUUAGCUAGUUGGUAAGGUAACGGCUUACCAAGGCAACGAUGCGUAGCCGACCUGAGAGGGUGAUCGGCCACACUGGAACUGAGACACGGUCCAGACUCCUACGGGAGGCAGCAGUAGGGAAUCUUCCGCAAUGGGCGAAAGCCUGACGGAGCAACGCCGCGUGAGUGAUGAAGGUCUUCGGAUCGUAAAACUCUGUUAUUAGGGAAGAACAAAUGUGUAAGUAACUAUGCACGUCUUGACGGUACCUAAUCAGAAAGCCACGGCUAACUACGUGCCAGCAGCCGCGGUAAUACGUAGGUGGCAAGCGUUAUCCGGAAUUAUUGGGCGUAAAGCGCGCGUAGGCGGUUUUUUAAGUCUGAUGUGAAAGCCCACGGCUCAACCGUGGAGGGUCAUUGGAAACUGGAAAACUUGAGUGCAGAAGAGGAAAGUGGAAUUCCAUGUGUAGCGGUGAAAUGCGCAGAGAUAUGGAGGAACACCAGUGGCGAAGGCGACUUUCUGGUCUGUAACUGACGCUGAUGUGCGAAAGCGUGGGGAUCAAACAGGAUUAGAUACCCUGGUAGACCACGCCGUAAACGAU